rnacentral:lncRNA from 1 species
UAGUGUGACAAGUCCUCACCUCAGGUUAUCUUCUUCCUGCCAUCAAUGUCCUGGGGAAGUUGAAUCAGUGACGAGUAGAUGAACACACACUCUGAGCAAGGCAAGGGGGGAAUUUCACCCACGCUCUGGGAAGGCACCCCCGGCUUCCACUGAGGGUUCUUCUCUGCUAGUGCCCCCCAUUCCCAGGCCCCGCUCCCACCCUGGGUGGUUUGGAUCCUCCAUACUCUGGGGUCCCCGUUUUGACCUUUUCUUUCUCUAGAUGUGUGAGUGUCACUGACUAAGCCAAAGUCACCUCAGUGCCCUGGGCCUCCAAGAUGGCAUUUCUCUUCCUGUUAUGAGCUGACUUCACAAACGCUGCCCUCCCUGGUCAGGGGCUUCCUGCCUUCGCAGCCCACAGCCCGGCUGCAGAUGCAAAAGUAACAGUGCCGGUCACCACACUCGGGGCGUGACUGUCACCAUGUGCUCUCACCCCGCGCACCACCUGGGUCCCAGUUCCUCACGACUCAGUCCCCCCUUGGAACAAUUCCAUCCCAUCGACUUAAAAUUCUGCUGCAUCCCAAAGAAAAAGCAAGUCCAGGGAAGCGCCCAGAGCUAAUACAUCAAAUUGGGUACCCUUUCAGUUCACAGGGGCCAGGACCACAAGUCAGCCUGGCUCCCAUCCAAACCCUCCAGAGGGCCCCCCUCCAGCAGAAGCAAAGCAGACAGCUGCCUCGGACCUCUUCCCACAGCUCUGCCGGGUGUCAGGAAUGGAAACUGAUCCUUCACUGGGGCUCUGGCUCUUUUGAUUUUGUGACUGAGAACCAGGCAGAUGGGCAAGGAAGAAAAAAAGACGGAGCACAGGGGCUUCAUUCAGGCAGGCCUCUCUCCAUCCCUCCCCCUCUGUGUGCCUGACCCCUGCCCUCAGUCUCCUCCUGCCCCUGAGCUUCUGCCACUUCAAUGGCCUCCAUCUCUUUCCCUGUCCAUCCCCCUCUCUGUCUGUCUUCGGGCUUUUGUUGUUGUUGUUGUUGUUGUUGUUGUUGUUGCUGUUUAGGGCCACACCCUCAGCAUAUGGAGGUUCCCAGGCUAGGGGUGGAAUCGGAGCUAUAGCCACCGGCCUACGCCAGAGCCACAGCAACAUCAGAUCUGAGGCUUGUCUGCAACCUACGCCACAGCUCACGGCAAAGCUGGAUCCUUAACUCACUGAGCAAGGCCUGGGAUCAAACCCACAACCUCAUGGUUCCUAGUCAGAUUCGUUUCCGCUGCACCACGAUGGGAACAUCUAUCUUCUGUCUUAAUUCCACUCUCCUUUCUGUUCCUCUAGUUGGUAAUCAUCUGUGUAUCUUUCUGCUCUCCUUCCUGUUUUCUCUGUCUCUCUCUCAUCUCCACUUUUAUUUUUAAAUCUACUUUAAUUACUCAAUCUUUUUUGCCUAUCUAGAUCUCCUUUCUUUCCCCUUCCAAAGAAAAAUACUAACGCAAUUCCUCAGAAAACUAAACAUAGAACUACCAUUUGAUCCAGCAAUCCCACUCCUGGGCAUCUAUCCAGAGAAAACCACAACUCGCAAAGACACAUGUACUCCCAUGUUCAUUGCAGCACUACUUGCAAUAGCCAAGACAUGGAAACAACCUAAAUGUCCAUCGACAGAGGAGUAGAUCAAGAAGAUGUGGUACAUAUACACAAUGGAAUAUUACUCAGCCAUUAAAAUGAAGGAAAUCCCGGCAUUUUUAGCAACACGGAUGGACCUAGAAAUUAUCAUGCCUAGUGAAGUCAGCCAUACAAUGAGACACCAACAUCAAAUGCUUUCACUGACAUGUGGAAUCUGAAAAAAGGACAGACGGAACUUCUUUACAGAACAGAUACUGACUCACAGACUUUGAAAAACUUAUGGUCUCCGGAGGAGACAGUUUGGGGGGUGGGGGGAUGUGCUUGGGUUGUGGGAUGGAAAGCCUGUGAAACUGGAUUGUGAUGAUCAUUAUACAACUACAGAUGUGAUAAAAAAAAAUUUAAAAAGAAAAAAGAAAAUUAAAAAAAAAGAAAAAUACUAACGUGUGAGAUAAGAUAGCCAGCAACCUUCCAUCAACCUUCCAUACCCCACCUCCUUACAUACAGACCCCAAGGUCCUGCCAGAGGUUCAAGGUGGUGGUUCCAGUGGCUCAUCUUCAAAGUCAUCACUGAUAAAAACUCUAACUUGGAGUUCUCAUCAUGGCUCAGUGGUUAACAAACCUGACUAGUAUCCAUGAGGACUCAGGUUUGAUCCCUGGCCUCACUCAGCAAGUUAAGGAUCUGGCGUUGCCAUGAGCUGUGGUAUAGGUGGCAGACGUGGCUCCGAUCCCAAAUUGCUGUGGUUGAGGUGUAGGCGGGCAGCUACAGCUCUGAUUUGACUCCUAGCCUGGGAACCUCCAUAUGCCAUGGGCACGGCCCUAAAAAAAGACAAAAGACAAAAAAAAAAANCCUUCUCCAUGUUGAGCCCCAGGUGGGCUCUUGGUCAAGCACACUGAGCAGGGGCAGCCCAGAUUACAGUACCCAUUCAGGAAUGACCAGACCGGGUUGGAAUGAAAUCUCUCUCUUUGAAAGCAAGACCCCCAGUGGAGCCCUUAUCAGUGGUGCCACACCUGUUCUACCAGGGAACUGCAGGGCACUCACAGCCCACCCCACCCAGCCCCUUUCCCGCCCUUUACUUUGCUUAUCUUAGCUCCAGAAGGUGACAACAGGGACACACCCAGCCUAAACAGCCCUUCCCAAUAACUUUGGCCAGGAAUCCCGUGGGUAAGUAGCCUACUCGUCAUCCAAGAUGGCUGAGAGGAGGAAGGCUUUGGGGGGGGGGGGUGCAGUCCCAGAAGUGAAAUGUGGGGGCUGGUCUGGGUCUGAUCCCUGGGCAGUGGUCUGGCUGGAAUCAUGAAGGCUGGACAGGAGUCACCAUUACUGCCUGACUCUGUGUGUGUGUGUGUGUGUGCGUGCGUGUGCGUGUGCGUGUGCGUGUGUGUGUCUUUUUAGGGCCAUAACCUCCUGCACAUGGAGGUUCCCAGGUGCAGCCCUAAAAAGCAAAAAAAAAAAAAAAACAAAACAAAAAGGAAAAAAAAAGAAAAUAUUACUAACAUCAAGAGAUUUGAAUCAAUAUUUCAAAUUAUCCUGAUAAUUUUGAAUAGUUUUAAUUAGCUUCCAUCCAUAAUGAUUAGAUUAUUAGAGUUGUGGGGGGAUUUUGUUUGGUGGGUUUUUUUGUUUUGUCUUGGGGUUUUUGAGCUUUUUUUUUAGGGCCAUGCCUAUGGCAUGUGGAAGUUCCCAGACUAGGGGUUGAAUCAGAGCUGCAGCCGCUGGCCUACGCCACAACCACAGCAUCGUGGGAUCCAAGCCACAUCUGCAACCUACACCACAACUUACGGCAACGCUGGAUCCUUAACCCACUGAGCGAGGCCAGGAAUCAAACUUGUAUCCUCUUGAGUACUAGUCAGGUUCAUAACCCACUGAGCCACAACAGGAACUCCAGGUUUUGGCGGCGGUGGUAGGGAGUUGGCCCUGCCCAUGGUGUAUGGAAGGUCCCAGGCCAGGGAUCAAACCCACACCAGAGCAGCAACCCAAGCCACUGCAGCGAUAACACCAGAUCCUUAACCCACUAUGCCACAAGGAAACUCCUGAACCACUUCUCCUCUCAACAGCAGUAGCUAAGGAACUCCUCUAGAUUGUUAGAGUUUUAACUCAAGACAAAAGAUAUCAAGGCCCCCCCUCGAAGGGUGGGGAGCAACGGCCUUGCCCUUUCCUUGCCAUCUGCCUGUGCCUGGACCUACCGGCCUUCUCCCCAACUCCCAGUGUCAUUUCAGGAAAUUGCUGAACACUUGGUCCAUUGUGCGAGGGCAAGUGUAUAGUUAAAACUAAGUGAGUUCACCCAUAAAUCCACUUCGUGAACAUGAGUAAGCGUGUCACAAUAUGCUAAAAAGGAGCAGAGAUGGAAGGACCCCUCUGCCCAUUGUCAUGGAACUCCCCAUCCCCCACUUCCCUCAGACCCCCCGCACCCUCCGCUCAGACACACACAACAUGCCUGACGUAAGGGCUAAAUGCAGGCGCCAGGGUCCCACAAAGCAAAUAUUAGAAAAGCUCAAAUGUUUUCUCGGUGUUUAGCUGAAAAAUACACGUAAAUAGAAGUUUCAAUCAUUUUGUCUCCUAUCCCAAUGGAUCCUCUUGUAUAACCCCUGGGUUUAAGACCCCUAGUUUUGGGAACUUCCAUUCUGGAAGGCAUAGGCCUGUAUCCAAAUUCCUCAUUUUGUGGACAGGUUUUGCAAAAGAAGAUGUCCUGUGAGUUUCUCAUCUUUGAGGCCAUGUAUUAUGUAUCUUCCCAGCCCCAGCCCCAGGCUGGCGGAGAGAAGACGCUCAGGAACUAUUUACAGAAUUAACAGCACACUCCCCAAGUGCACAGCCUCCCCUCUGCGCUGCGAAUGCUUGCCUUCCCUUCGGCCCCUGCUCUCCCACCCCACCAAGUCCUGUUCAUCCCCAUAAGCUCAGCUCAGAUGUUACCUCCUCUAGAGUAGCUGCCCACCUCCAGCUCUGUUUGCUCUUUCAGCGCGCCCUCCCUGCCUUCCCCAUUUGAGAACCAGGAGGGCAGGGAAGGUGUCCAAUUCACCUGCGUGCCCCGUGCCUGGCACACAACAUGCGCUCAGUAAAUGGCUGAUGAAUGAGAGACUCCCACAGAGCCAAGGGUGAGAUCAAGGGACAGUCUGGACCAGAGACUUUCGGGUUCAAGAACUUCAGUUCUGGGUAAUCAGCAUGCAGAGGCUGAAGGCCAAGGGACACUGUGUGAGGGACAUCCAGGACCCAGUCUGCAUGUUGAACCUCAGAGGGGCUGCUCACUGAAGGCCUUUCAGGUAGGAGAUGAAUCUACCCAAAGAGGCAGGCAACCCCAGGGUGUGGGACUGAGCUUCCACCAGCUGGUGGCACUGUGUCUGCGUCUGCCAACCCCACUGAAGCAGAGCAGCUUCCCGGAGCCAAGCAACCUCUCCCAAGCAUCGCUCUGCAGCCAAAAGCACUGAGUCAAGCCAGAAGCACCAGCAUUAUCAAUAAGUGAUCAUCUGCGGGACUUGGCAAGGCCCGGACGCGGACAAUCUAAAAGCAUCCCAUCUUCCAACAGGGUCAGCCCAAGGAACGCAGUUGUUAAUGGCCCACCAUCAACUCCAUCACCCACAAAGAAACCUCAGAAUCAUCCCUAAUCACCCCCGCAGCUGGUGCCUUGGAGUCUGCGUCAGCAAUGUCUCUCAAUCCCGGCAGCCCAGCAUCUGCGCCAAUCUUGUGCUUUGGGUCCGCCCGCCAAGCUGUGUGCUGUUGGGUCAGUUACUGCUGUUCCCUCAGCCAUAAAAUAAGAACAUUGAGACUGGGUUCGCAAGGUUCUUAGGGCAAAAUCACUUCUCUUACACACAGCACAGAGCAGGGGACACAACACAGAGUAAAAUGUUAAUAAAGAAUAUCUCUUCUUUUCUUCCUCUUCUCCAUCCCCGUGGACCACACCUUAACGCGGGGCUUUCUCCAUCUUUCCCUGAACUGUUGCAACUGCCUCUUACCUGUUCUCCCGACGCCUCCCCUACACGGCUGCCAAGAAGUAUCUUCCUCUGAGGCAAGAGUUAUACUUUAAACUUACUCAAGCAACUUUUAAGUACCUUGUGUGCCAGGCACUGCGCUGGUGCUGCAGAUAUAAAAAUAAAUGCGCUCUCUCCCAGGGAGCCCAGCACAGGGGCCCACAAAUACUUGUGACUGUUUUAGCUAGAAGGUCCCUAAGCAGGGACUUGAACUGAUCU